CAAUAGCGUAUAUUAAAGUUGUUGCGGUUAAAAAGCUCGUAGUUGGAUUUCUGUCGAAGAGGGGCGGUCCGCACUAUGUGCGAGUAUCUGUUUCCGCUUUGGCAUCCUCUUGGGGAACGGUGCUGCGCUUGAUUGCGUGGCCCGGGAUUCAAGACUUUUACUUUGAGGAAAUUAGAGUGUUCACGGCAGGCAAGCGCUUUGAAUACAUUAGCAUGGAAUAAUAACAUAGGAUCACGAUUCUAUUUUGUUGGUUUCUGGAGUUGCGAUAAUGAUUAAUAGGAUCAGUUGGGGGCAUUUGUAUUAACGCGUCAGAGGUGGAAUUCUUGGAUUGCGUUACGACAAACUACUGCGAAAGCAUUUGCCAAGGAUGUUUUCAUUGAUCAAGAACGAAAGUAUGGGGAUCGAAGAUGAUCAGAUACCAU
rnacentral:rRNA from 1 species